rnacentral:rRNA from 1 species
UACGAAGGGGGCUAGCGUUGCUCGGAAUCACUGGGCGUAAAGCGCACGUAGGCGGAUUCUUAAGUCGGUGGUGAAAGCCUGGAGCUCAACUCCAGAACUGCCUUCGAUACUGAGAGUCUUGAGUCCGGGAGAGGUGAGUGGAACUGCGAGUGUAGAGGUGAAAUUCGUAGAUAUUCGCAAGAACACCAGUGGCGAAGGCGGCUCACUGGCCCGGUACUGACGCUGAGGUGGCGAAAGCGUGGGGAGCAAACGGG